rnacentral:rRNA from 1 species
CCUACGGGGGGCAGCAGUGGGGAAUAUUGGACAAUGGGGGGAACCCUGAUCCAGCCAUGCCGCGUGUGUGAAGAAGGCCCUCGGGUUGUAAAGCACUUUCAGUGAGGAAGAACGCCUGGUGGUUAAUACCCAUCAGGAAAGACAUCACUCACAGAAGAAGCACCGACUAACUCCGUGCCAGCAGCCGCGGUAAUACGGAGGGUGUGAGCGUUAAUCGGAAUUACUGGGCGUAAAGCGCGCGUAGGUGGCUUGAUAAGCCGGUUGUGAAAGCCCCGGGCUCAACCUGGGAACGGCAUCCGGAACUGUCAAGCUAGAGUGCAGGAGAGGAAGGUAGAAUUCCCGGUGUAGCGGUGAAAUGCGUAGAGAUCGGGAGGAAUACCAGUGGCGAAGGCGGCCUUCUGGACUGACACUGACACUGAGGUGCGAAAGCGUGGGUAGCAAACAGGAUUAGAUACCCGAGUAGUC